CACACACAUAUGCUCGCGCUCCACAAGUGUUCCCGCGCCACCACUUGAGGAGAAAAGGUGACGAGCGCUCUGCCACUAUUGCCAGAACGGUGGCGCUGAGACUGGUUACUGUGCUGGUGAUGGUGUCGACUGUGGCGCCUCAAGUGUGACUGAUAGAGACUAAAGACAUAAAGACAAUGGUGGAGAAAACAGCAAGAAAGAAAAUGUGAAAGGAAAAGGGGAAGGAGGGGGAGGGGGGGUGGCGAGGAGGUGUAAAGAGGUGGAAGCGAAGUGAGUGAUGAGCUAAGGGAAGAACGUUGUCAGUCAGCGCUUUUGGUAACCGUGUGUCCCUUGCUAACGACGUGUGUUCAUCAGGGAAGUAUCGCCUCAGUCAGCAACGCAAGACUACGCAGCAUAAUCCUCUUCUCCAAGACUAGGGAUGGAGUACAUGUUCACUGGAAUGCUGUGAUCAAUGAAAAUGUCUGUGAAUAAGACCCAAUACUGUGUGGUAUGUAAAUGCACGUAGCCUCGUCAGCACACUUGCUCUGCUUCUGGUCCAGCACAUGAUGAACUACACCCAUGCAAUAAAAAAAGCCAAUAUCAAGCAAGAAGGUGCCUCUAUAAAAAAAAACUAGCCAGUGAUAUUAUGGACUGGGGCCGACCAGCAGGCCACAUCAGGGAAGCCUGCCUGCACCACAGGCCGAACGUUUCCCCAGGUACCCAUUUAUCGACCAGCCCGAGAGGGAGGAUGAACAGCUGGGUGAGCUGCAUGCCGACUGCCCGGGCCAGGAUUCAAACCCAGGCCUGUGGAGUAGAAGCCAGGCACACUGACCACUAGACCAUGGAGGCGUAUUUUGUAUAUAGAAAUUGGUUAUUUACCAAGCAGUGUACAAUCAUGGUCUUAGUCUUGCAAUCACUAGUCAUAUCUGCUGGCAAAUAUGGUAAAUAUACCAGUAACAGACAACACACAACAGUAGAUAUAGCUGGGAUACUAAUAAGUAUAAAUUUUAUCUGUUGGGAUCAGCAUCUGAACACGAUCUUCAAGAAACUCUAUAUAUGAUAAAUGUCAUCAGAUACAACCAAGGCAUCUCAAUAUAGAUGGUUUGUUUUAGAGAUGCGUGACAAUUAGCUAUAUGACGUAGAAAAUUGCCCAUAUUAAUCAUUGAUCAUAUUGUACUGUACUGUUAAGAUGCAGUUUGUACUCACUGCCUAACUCUGAUACUCCAAAAUAUUACCGUAAUUAUGUAGCCUCUUACACCAUGAAGCACUAAAUAAUUUAAGCAUACUUUUUUUCUGGUCUUCUUGGCAUCAUUUUCAAAUAUAAAUAAAACAGAUACUAUAUUUAGUGCUAAGACAAGGUAGAGGUGGAAGCAAAUUUAUUUAUUUAUUUAACUACCAGCCCGAGAGGGAGGAUGAACAACAGGGUUGGCUGGGCACUGACUGCCCAGGCCAAGAUUCAAACCAAUGCCUGCAGAUUCAUAAUGAGGUGUGUUAACCACUACACAAUGGAUGCACAUGACACUCACAAUCAGAUGUGCAUGGGGGCAGGCAAUGAUCAAGCUUGGACACACAAUUAUAUAUUAGUAUUAAGUCACAUAUAGUCAGGAUAGCAUACUGACACUGAUUUAUAUUUCAAAAUGUACCCCUUAUUUUGGUGAGUUCAGCAAUUUCAGACAAGAGGACCACUUCACUCCAAGACUUAAUCAUAUUCUCAACUUCCCCUAUUCUCUCCCUUACUAUAUUAAUCUAAUUAGGUUACAAUUAUACGGGGACACAACUAAUCUCUGAGCUGGGUUACGUUACUUUUCGUUGGGGUACAUUAAGGUGUAUGAGUUUGUUCAUUUCUAAUGUGGUCCUUUUAUCCAGAUUUACAAGUGACUUUAAUCCUUUAUAAAGUUUGCAUGCCAAGGAAUGCCGACACACCCAUCGCAAUACAAAAAAUCGCACAGCCACACCCGGCAAUUUUAACCAAUUAUUUAUUACAACCGAGACACUCCAUCAGUUAUCGCCACUUUGUUGGCAUAAGGUCAGUGAAAGCUUGCUCAGGACCAGUAAUGCUUUAAGCUGAUAAUGAAGGCUUCACUCAGGCAAACUAACUAUCUGCUGGGAUCCCCGGAAAAAGUUUUGCAGGGGUACACUUCAAAGCUCAGCCUGUUAUAGUGUCUGUAUGCCGCAACAGAAUACACUCACACUCCAAAACUC